UGGGGAAUAUUGGUCAAUGGGCGCAAGCCUGAACCAGCCAUGCCGCGUGCAGGAUGACGGUCCUAUGGAUUGUAAACUGCUUUUGUACAGGAAGAAACACUCCCUCGUGAGGGAGCUUGACGGUACUGUAAGAAUAAGGAUCGGCUAACUCCGUGCCAGCAGCCGCGGUAAUACGGAGGAUCCAAGCGUUAUCCGGAAUCAUUGGGUUUAAAGGGUCCGUAGGCGGUUUUAUAAGUCAGUGGUGAAAUCUGGUCGCUCAACGAUCAAACGGCCAUUGAUACUGUAGAACUUGAAUUACUUGGAAGUAACUAGAAUAUGUAGUGUAGCGGUGAAAUGCUUAGAGAUUACAUGGAAUACCAAUUGCGAAGGCAGGUUACUACAAGUAUAUUGACGCUGAUGGACGAAAGCGUGGGGAGCGAACAGGAUUAGAUACCCUGGUAGA
rnacentral:rRNA from 1 species